CUGCUAAGCAUGCGAGGUUGGUUGUGGUCUUCGGAUCGUGGCCGGCUGAGUCUGUGACCCAAUCUUGUAGUAGGCAAGCUGCGGAGGGACGCAGGAAGGUAGCUCUUCUCGGGUUUGGAUAUCCCCGGGCUAAGUGUGUAGGACGGAACGUAGGCAAAUCCGCGUUCCUUAUGGUCUGAGACAUGAUGGGUCGGUCACUUUGUGGCCGUAAGAGUGAUCCUAUGCUGCCUAGAAAAGCUUCGUGAGCGAGAUAUGAGCCGCCCGUACCCCAAACCGACACAGGUGGAUAGGUAGAGAAUACUAAGGCGAUCGAGAUAACCAUGGUGAAGGAACUCGGCAAAAUACCCCCGUAACUUCGGGAUAAGGGGGACCUGAUGCGUAUUAGAAUUUACUUCGAAAGCGUUGAGGGUCGCAGAGACCAGGCCCAAGCGACUGUUUACUAAAAACACAGGUCCGUGCUAAGUCGAAAGACGAUGUAUACGGACUGACUCCCGCCCGGUGCUGGAAGGUUAAGGGGAAGGGUUAGCUUUACGGCGAAGCCUUGAACUUAAGCCCCAGUAAACGGCGGUGGUAACUAUAACCAUCCUAAGGUAGCGAAAUUCCUUGUCGGGUAAGUUCCGACCUGCACGAAUGGAGUAACGAUUUGGGCGCUGUCUCCACCAUGGACUCGGCGAAAUUGCACUACGAGUAAAGAUGCUCGUUACGCGCAGCAGGACGGAAAGACCCCGGGACCUUCACUAUAGUUUGGUAUUGGUGAUCGGUGUGACUUGUGUAGGAUAGGUGGGAGACUUUGAAGCUUGGACGCCAGUUCAGGUGGAGUCAUCGUUGAAAUACCACUCUGGUCACUCUGGUUAUCUAACCUAGGUCCAUUAUCUGGAUCAGGGACAGUGCCUGAUGGGUAGUUUGACUGGGGCGGUCGCCUCCUAAAAGGUAACGGAGGCGCCCAAAGGUUCCCUCAGCCUGGUUGGCGAUCAGGUUUCGAGUGUAAGUGCACAAGGGGGCUUGACUGCGAGAGAGACAUCUCGAGCAGGGACGAAAGUCGGGACUAGUGAUCUUCUGGUGGCACAUGGAAGCGCCAGGACUCAACGGAUAAAAGGUACCCCGGGGAUAACAGGCUGAUCUUGCCCGAGCGUCCAUAGCGACGGCAUGGUUUGGCACCUCGAUGUCGGCUCGUCGCAUCCUGGGGCUGGAGUCGGUCCCAAGGGUUGGGCUGUUCGCCCAUUAAAGCGGCACGCGAGCUGGGUUUAGAACGUCGUGAGACAGUUCGGUCCCUAUCCGCUGCGCGCGUAGGAGUCUUGAGAAGAGCUGUCCUUAGUACGAGAGGACCGGGACGGACUAACCUCUGGUGUGCCAGUUGUUCUACCAAGAGCACGGCUGGUUGGCUACGUUGGGAAGUGAUAACCGCCGAAAGCAUCUAAGCGGGAAGCACGCUUCAAGAUGAGGGCUCCCACAGAUUAAUCUGGUAAGGCCCCCUAUAGACCAUGGGGUGAUAGGUCGGAUGUGGAAGUGCAGUAAUGUACGGAGCUGACCGAUACUAAUAGGCCGAGGGCUUGUUCC
rnacentral:rRNA from 1 species